GACGAACCGUGCGAACGUUGUUCGGAAUCACUGGGCUUAAAGGGCGCGUAGGCGGGCUGUCGCGUCUGGGGUGAAAUCCUCCGGCUCAACCGGGGAAGGGCCUCGGGUACGGACGGCCUCGAGGGGGUAGGGCGUGCGGAACUGUGGGUGGAGCGGUGAAAUGCGUUGAUAUCCACAGGAACUCCGGUGGCGAAGGCGGCACGCUGGACCCUUCUGACGCUGAGGCGCGAAAGCCAGGGAGCGAACGGG
rnacentral:rRNA from 1 species